AUGCAGGAAGAGGGCUGUCUUGGGGGAUGCCCUUCCUGCUCCUCUUUGGCUUGGUCCAACCACAUGUGGCCUGGCACGUUCCAGAGGGGGUGCCCCACUGGAGGUAGAUGGAGAGGGAGAGCCUCCAGAAAUAUGCUGAAACACUGCCCAAGGAAGAGACUUCUGGGGAGGAGAUAUCUGUGUCCAGGCCCUGAAGACAACCUGAUGGAAAAGGAAUUGGGGGUAUUCAGGGGGAGUUGGGUGGGCUUGGGGUGUGGGGGAGAUUCUAACCAGCCAUCAAGGCUGGACCAGAGUGAGCAGGAGGAGGUCGUAGCAAGGAGGGAGGAGGGAGGGUCUUUUGGGUCUCCCUUGAUGCACUUGGGCUCCUUUCUUCCACAGAGGUUUGGCGAAGGGCUCUCCAGACUUGCUUUUCCCCGUUUCUUUCUGUCUGUGGGUUUAUGCGCUGCUCCAGAUCAUGGCUCUCCCUUGGGUCCUCAGCCUCCUCAGCUCCACCUUCGUUCUUUGUACCAUUUGGCCCGUCCUUCUCUGGGUAUUUUGCCAUCUCUCUGUGGAUGCCUGUCUUGGACCACCCCCACCUUCUCUGUCUCUGUCCCCUCCCUCCUCCCCUCCCCCAGCCCUUCUCCUGCCUCUGGGAGGGGCUCCGAGUGCAGCUCCCAUUCCAGCUCCCGUCUGGCCCCCGAACCUGGCCUAAGAGUACAGAGACUUCCCAAACCUGGAGCAAUGCGCGUGGGCUUAAGGCGAACCACAGAGUCCUUUUCCCUCUCAGCCCCUGGCCAGGGUCUCCCUGCUCUCUUCUGCUCACCUGUGCCCCGGCUUCUUUCGACUGCGUUUGCCUUGAUCUCGGGCCCUCUGACCCUACCCCCCCCCCCCCUUUUCUGCUGUUGGGGGAGGGCCAGGGCCAGGCAGAAGCAGUGUGGGGGUGGGAAAGGCUCUUGGCCUGGUCUUUGGACGCAUUUCGGGAGCCCCUCCCGCCUUUGGGUGGCCAUUGGUUUCCAGGACGUUACCCUCCGGUUCUCUGCGAUCCCCAAGCACUUGUCGGUCCUAAAGGCCAGCACCGGGUGCUUUCCGAAGAGCCCUGAAUAUCGCCUUUGUUCUCUUGGCCACUGA
rnacentral:lncRNA from 1 species